rnacentral:rRNA from 1 species
AUUGAACGCUGGCGGCGUGCUUAACACAUGCAAGUCGAUCGGUAACAGGUGUAGCAAUACAUGCUGACGAGAGGCGGACGGGUGAGUAAUGCUUGGGAAUCUGCCUAUUAGUGGGGGACGAACCCGGGAAACGUCGGGCGUAAUACCGCAUACGUUCUACGGAGGAAAGGCCGGGGACCGCAAGGCCUGGCGCUAAUAGAUGAGCCCAAGUCAGAUUAGCUAGUUGGUAGGGUAACGGCCUACCAAGGCGACAAUCCGUAGCUGGUCUGAGAGGACGACCAGCCACACCGGAACUGAGACACGGUCCGGACUCCUACGGGA